rnacentral:rRNA from 1 species
GGGUUGUGAGGUUAAGCGACUAAGCGUACACGGUGGAUGCCCUGGCAGUCAGAGGCGAUGAAGGACGUGCUAAUCUGCGAUAAGCGUCGGUAAGGUGAUAUGAACCGUUAUAACCGGCGAUUUCCGAAUGGGGAAACCCAGUGUGUUUCGACACACUAUCAUUAACUGAAUCCAUAGGUUAAUGAGGCGAACCGGGGGAACUGAAACAUCUAAGUACCCCGAGGAAAAGAAAUCAACCGAGAUUCCCCCAGUAGCGGCGAGCGAACGGGGAGCAGCCCAGAGCCUGAAUCAGUGUGUGUGUUAGUGGAAGCGUCUGGAAAGGCGCGCGAUACAGGGUGACAGCCCCGUACACAAAAAUGCACAUACUGUGAGCUCGAUGAGUAGGGCGGGACACGUGGUAUCCUGUCUGAAUAUGGGGGGACCAUCCUCCAAGGCUAAAUACUCCUGACUGACCGAUAGUGAACCAGUACCGUGAGGGAAAGGCGAAAAGAACCCCGGCGAGGGGAGUGAAAAAGAACCUGAAACCGUGUACGUACAAGCAGUGGGAGCACGCUUCGGCGUGUGACUGCGUACCUUUUGUAUAAUGGGUCAGCGACUUAUAUUCUGUAGCAAGGUUAACCGAAUAGGGGAGCCGAAGGGAAACCGAGUCUUAACUGGGCGUUAAGUUGCAGGGUAUAGACCCGAAACCCGGUGAUCUAGCCAUGGGCAGGUUGAAGGUUGGGUAACACUAACUGGAGGACCGAACCGACUAAUGUUGAAAAAUUAGCGGAUGACUUGUGGCUGGGGGUGAAAGGCCAAUCAAACCGGGAGAUAGCUGGUUCUCCCCGAAAGCUAUUUAGGUAGCGCCUCGUGAACUCAUCUUCGGGGGUAGAGCACUGUUUCGGCAAGGGGGUCAUCCCGACUUACCAACCCGAUGCAAACUGCGAAUACCGGAGAAUGUUAUCACGGGAGACACACGGCGGGUGCUAACGUCCGUCGUGAAGAGGGAAACAACCCAGACCGCCAGCUAAGGUCCCAAAGUCAUGGUUAAGUGGGAAACGAUGUGGGAAGGCCCAGACAGCCAGGAUGUUGGCUUAGAAGCAGCCAUCAUUUAAAGAAAGCGUAAUAGCUCACUGGUCGAGUCGGCCUGCGCGGAAGAUGUAACGGGGCUAAACCAUGCACCGAAGCUGCGGCAGCGACACUAUGUGUUGUUGGGUAGGGGAGCGUUCUGUAAGCCUGUGAAGGUGUGCUGUGAGGCAUGCUGGAGGUAUCAGAAGUGCGAAUGCUGACAUAAGUAACGAUAAAGCGGGUGAAAAGCCCGCUCGCCGGAAGACCAAGGGUUCCUGUCCAACGUUAAUCGGGGCAGGGUGAGUCGACCCCUAAGGCGAGGCCGAAAGGCGUAGUCGAUGGGAAACAGGUUAAUAUUCCUGUACUUGGUGUUACUGCGAAGGGGGGACGGAGAAGGCUAUGUUGGCCGGGCGACGGUUGUCCCGGUUUAAGCGUGUAGGCUGGUUUUCCAGGCAAAUCCGGAAAAUCAAGGCUGAGGCGUGAUGACGAGGCACUACGGUGCUGAAGCAACAAAUGCCCUGCUUCCAGGAAAAGCCUCUAAGCAUCAGGUAACAU